rnacentral:rRNA from 1 species
GAUGAACGCUGGCGGCGUGCCUAAUACAUGCAAGUCGAGCGAACAGACGAGGAGCUUGCUCCUCUGACGUUAGCGGCGGACGGGUGAGUAACACGUGGAUAACCUACCUAUAAGACUGGGAUAACUUCGGGAAACCGGAGCUAAUACCGGAUAAUAUAUUGAACCGCAUGGUUCAAUAGUGAAAGACGGUUUUGCUGUCACUUAUAGAUGGAUCCGCGCCGCAUUAGCUAGUUGGUAAGGUAACGGCUUACCAAGGCAACGAUGCGUAGCCGACCUGAGAGGGUGAUCGGCCACACCGGAACUGAGACACGGUCCAGACUCCUACGGGAGGCAGCAGUAGGGAAUCUUCCGCAAUGGGCGAAAGCCUGACGGAGCAACGCCGCGUGAGUGAUGAAGGUCUUCGGAUCGUAAAACUCUGUUAUUAGGGAAGAACAAAUGUGUAAGUAACUAUGCACGUCUUGACGGUACCUAAUCAGAAAGUCACGGCUAACUACGUG